UUGGGAAUCUUGCACAAUGGGGGCAACCCUGAUGCAGCGACGCCGCGUGGAGGACGAAGGAUCUAGGUCUGUAAACUCCUUUUGCCAAGAAAGACUUAGGACGGUACUUGGCGAAUAAGCUCCGGCUAACUACGUGCCAGCAGCCGCGGUAAUACGUAGGGAGCGAGCGUUGUCCGGAUUUACUGGGCGUAAAGGGCGCGUAGGCGGUCUGUUUAGUGUGAAGUGAAAUCUCCAGGGCUCAACCCGGAAACUGCUUUGCAAACUGGCAGACUAGAGGAAGGUAGAGGUAAGUGGAAUUCCCGGUGUAGCGGUGACAUGCAUUGAUACCGGGAGGAACACCCGUGGCGAAGGCGGCUUACUGGACCUUAUCUGACGCUGAGGCGCGAAAGCGUGGGUAGCAAACAGG
rnacentral:rRNA from 1 species